rnacentral:rRNA from 1 species
AGUGAACGCUGGCGGUAGGCCUAACACAUGCAAGUCGAACGGCAGCACAGUAAGAGCUUGCUCUUACGGGUGGCGAGUGGCGGACGGGUGAGGAAUACAUCGGAAUCUACUUUUUCGUGGGGGAUAACGUAGGGAAACUUACGCUAAUACCGCAUACGACCUACGGGUGAAAGCAGGGGAUCUUCGGACCUUGCGCGAUUGAAUGAGCCGAUGUCGGAUUAGCUAGUUGGCGGGGUAAAGGCCCACCAAGGCGACGAUCCGUAGCUGGUCUGAGAGGAUGAUCAGCCACACUGGAACUGAGACAGGGUCCAGAGGCCUACGGGAGGCAGCAGUGGGGAAUAUGGGACAAUGGGCGCAAGCCUGAUCCAGCGAUACCGCGUGGGUGAAGAAGGCCUUCGGGUUGUAAAGCCCUUUUGUGGGGAAAGAAAAGCAGCAGGUUAAUACCCCGCUGUUCUGACGGUACCCAAAGAAUAAGCACCGGCUAACUUCGUG